AUGACCAUGCUUUCUCGGGCACCUAUCUUCUGGCACUUGAUCCCUCCACAGGCUACACUCAGUCCCUUCAGCAAGACGGUCAGCAGUGUACAAUCAGGACAGAGUAGUUUCAUUCUGCUGCUGCUUCCAUCCCACUUUUUUCUCAUGCUCCAGUGUGGGUCCUGCACAGUCUGCAUUCCCUUCAGGGAAUUCUGUGUUCCAAUGUGCUCAUCCAUGGACAUAUUCCCUUUGGGGAUCUAUCUGUGCCAAAAGCCUGGAUGAUGGACUCAGCCUUGGCUUGCAGUAGUCCUGUUGUGGAGCUGUCUGGAGCCAGUAGUGUCCAGCACGAUCCUACAGCAGCCAGCCCUGAAAUCCUCAGUCCCUCCCAGAACCUGGCCAUCCACACCCAUACAGUUAUGUGCCACACACUGUGUGGUUUGUCCCUUCCUGUCUGCUGGUUUCCCUUAGCCCAAAUAGACAGGGGAAAGAGAAAUGCUCUUCAACACUUCUGAACCUCAUCAGGAACCGGGCAGUCCAGAAUCAUGAUUAUUCUCUUUCACCGUUUCCAAAUGUAAUAUCCAUGUAUGGAAAUUUCACCUAGAAACCAUAGUGUUCCUGUAGGGAAAAUUCCAACCCAUCUGACAUGCCACUGUAUUUUCUCAUAUCUUUAACCUGUCAUAACUGCAAUAAAAAACAAUUUUCUCUGAAGGUUUUGAGGCUU
rnacentral:lncRNA from 1 species